UACAGAGGUCUCAAGCGUUGUUCGGAUUCAUUGGGCGUAAAGGGCGCGUAGGCGGCGGGGUAAGUCGGGUGUGAAAUCUCAGGGCUCAACCCUGAAACUGCACUCGAUGCUGCUCUGCUUGAGGACUGGAGAGGAGACUGGAAUUCACGGUGUAGCAGUGAAAUGCGUAGAGAUCGUGAGGAAGACCAGUGGCGAAGGCGGGUCUCUGGACAGUUCCUGACGCUGAGGCGCGAAGGCCAGGGGAGCAAACGGG
rnacentral:rRNA from 1 species